GGGGAAUUGGCGCAAUGGUAGCGCGUUGGUUUUCGGCUAUCCAAAAGUCAUACACCAAAGGUUGUGGGUUCGAUCCCCAUGUUCCUCG